rnacentral:rRNA from 1 species
GACGAACGCUGGCGGCGUGCCUAACACAUGCAAGUCGAGCGAAGAAUACAUAAAGAAAUCUUCGGAUGGAAUUAUGUAUUUCUUAGCGGCGGACGGGUGAGUAACGCGUGAGGAACCUGCCUUGUACUAGGGGAUAGCCUCGGGAAACCGGGAUUAAUACCCUAUGAUACUUGAAAGUCGCAUGACUUUCAAGUCAAAGCGAUUUAGCGGUACAAGAUGGCCUCGCGUCCCAUUAGCUAGUUGGCGAGGUAAUAGCUCACCAAGGCGACGAUGGGUAGCCGGCCUGAGAGGGUGAACGGCCACACUGGAACUGAGACACGGUCCAGACUCCUACGGGAGGCAGCAGUGGGGAAUAUUGCACAAUGGAGGAAACUCUGAUGCAGCGACGCCGCGUGAGCGAUGAAGGUUUUCGAAUCGUAAAGCUCUGUCCUAAGGGACGAUAAUGACGGUACCUUAGGAGGAAGCCCCGGCUAACUACGUG